CUCUGCUAGAUUUAAUCAACCAUUUGUGUCUGUCAUCUCAGCAAGAAGCCCUUUUGCUUCCUGAGGCAUUAAAAUGACACGAUAUGAGGCAGAACCAGAAAAAGAGUUCAUUUACAGGGAGAUUUGACUCCAGUCCAGAGAACCGUGCAGGUCGGACCCCCGCAGAGCUGCAGAUGAGAGCGAUCCCUGUUCCCCAUUGCACUUCUGCAAGGGUGCCUGCUGCUGCCCACCCCGCUGCACCUGCCCGCCGUACCCCAGUGCUGCCACUCCUCAAAAUCUCGGCGGUACAAACGGGUACACCCAACCCCUCUGCUGCGACCCCAGCACUGGAGUAGGAGUUGGGACUUGCCACACCACACAAAACACCAUCCCAGCAGCAGGAGCAAUGAGCUCCCGGAGGCCAUCAGCAUGGGCACCUCUCCUCUGACCAUCGCCAGCCGCUCACGUGGACAUCGCUCAGCAGAGCUGCGUAGAGGCAGAGGAGGACUAGUGUGAGACAGGACGGCGUGCCGUUUGAAUAAGAUACAUUGGUUCCAGACUAAUUCUGCUUAUUUAUAACACAGUAAUGAUAGAUAUUGCCACUCCUGAAAUCUGGAAGUGUACAAGUUUCAACAAAACAAACCUGAAUGUUAUGGAGGAGGCUUCUAUUGUCUGAAACUGUACCUCUAAAAAGCUGAACUUGAAAGAGAGGAAGCCUGGAGAACAGUGUCGUAUC